UCUAAAUGUGAGGGGUAUUGUGCUGUGAAGAGAGGGAAUGGCAUAGGACAUUCUCUUAAAGCUUUUCUUGCUUCAGACUGCAGUGGUUUCUAGCAGGGCUGGAUGGGAAGGGAAUUGUAACCUCUGUAGUAACCAGUAAGUCUGGUCUCAACACGUCAGGCAGACACUCAGUCUUCAGAGGAAUUACCUCUGAGAGCUAGGGUGUUCUUGGUAACUUAGGGCUUCUGUGUCAGUCUCCACAAGGAAGCCACAGUCAGCAUUGUGUUCUGUGGGAAACCUGCAGGGGCUGAUCACUCGUGGUAGUUCUGUCUUCGCCUCUCACUGGAGAUAGUGAGCUGAUAGAGUGCAGGCACCAGAGGGUAGAGGUGAAUGGAAUGGAAAUGUAGAUGGAAAUGUGACCAGCACGUGUGAUGGUCUCUCCAUGGCAGACAGAGCUCUGCAUGUGUGAGAAACAGACUGCGGAACAGGACUUGGCUUGAUGGCCACCAGCUCUUCUACAAAAAGGGAGGGUCAUGCGGAGACUGUAGCCAAGUACAAGGUGCAUGCAACUGUCAUCUGGACAUUUGUCCAAUCCACGUUGACAUUUGAGGAAUCCUAGAGUGUGAGAAUGAACUUGGAGGAGAACUGGUGAAAUCCCAUCCAGUGAGCGUCUUCAAACUCUGGUCACCGAAGGGAACAGUAUCAGGUCCAAAGAUCACCCAGCCAGUGAAUGAGCUCAGGUACC